ensembl:lncRNA
GUUUUGUAUUGCUUGUUUUAGCAGGAGAAUAAUGUUUCCUAACAGGAAGACAACAGAAGAGAGCUGCAUCACCAAACUGCUUUGUGAUGAAAGUUUAGCCCUUCUCUUCUUUUUUCCAUCUUUUUGUUUUGAUGUUUGAAAGAAGAUCAUUUGUUUUCGAGAGUCCUGCCAUCAAGAAAAUGAAUUUCCAGGAGGUUGGAGCGUAGCAUACCCUAUGAAAUGCCUUGCCUUUUAUUUCAACUUGAAUUGAACUAAGUACUUUGCAGAAAUGCUUUUGGGGUGAGAGUCUUUGGCUCAGCUGUUUUUCUUUCUUCUUUCUGUCGUUGUGGUUGUUGUUGUUCUCGUGCUUUUCACUCAUUUUUUUCUCUCCAUUUGAUGUUUGCUUUCCAAAGGGAACGAUAUUGAACACCAUGCUUUAUGGUGGUUUGCCUUUAGUUUAUAUAUACUUCAACACCCACAUGUUUUCUUUUUCUGAUAAACCAUACUGGAUUACACAUGGUGAGGAUUUGGGUUCCUCAACGCGCAUGUCCAAUGUAAACUGGAUAUAAUGCAUUCAAAUCCUUUUCACUGUCUCUGAAGCCUAUUUGUCAUGUAGGAUUCAUCAGUAUUCUGUCCUGAACCAGUGCUACUGUUCAUAACAGAGCAGCAGUUUAACCAGGAAGAUAUUAAACACCCAUGCUUUUACGGUUGCUUGGUGUUACAUUGAACCCUUCGGCUGUCUAUUUAGUAUUUAUGAAUUAGCGUUAAUGAAUUGAGCAGGCCUGCCACAAUGUGUAUUAUCCACCUGUACAUGGCAAGUGGGGCUGAAAGGAUUUUGUUGAUACUUUGCGUGAAGGGAGACGUUUGGUGCGUUUGUAUUAUACAUGCUUUUUAAAGACACACCUAUCACCUUUUUCCUCAAUGCCAGGGUUUCCCCAACUCAGUCUUGGGGCCUGCCAGGGUGCACGUUUUGGUUUUUGCCCUAGCGCUACACAGCUGAUUCAAAUAAUCAAAGCUUGAUGAUGAGUUGGUUAUUUGAAUCAGCUGUGUAGUGCUGGGGGAAACCAAAGCGUGCACCCAGGGGGGGCCCAGGACCAAGUUGGGGAAACCCUGCUCUAUGCAGUCAACAUGAGUUUUAAAAGAAAUUGUAAACUGUUUUAUGAUCUUGUUUAUGAUACUCUUAAACCAUGUAAACACCAGGCAAAACAAAGAAAUGAGCCAACAUAACAUUGCUGACUGUACACAUUAAUAUUUAUAUAAAUAUCUGUACUGAUUCAUGCUAGCUUUCAAAAUAGUAUAUUUUUAUUUUCGUUAUUGAACAAAAUGACCACUUAUUAUGAGUAAUUUUGCAUUACAGUUUAAUAUAUUGUAAAUAAAUGAUGACUCAGACUGUAAUUGUAUUUUCUCUGUGGGUGUUUGUUUGACAUUUUCUGCAUUGGUGUUUCAGCCUCCAAGCUCCUAUCUGUCUUUUCAUACUUAAAUAUGCACAUUAGAAAAUAGUCUCCCACUUAACAUUUCUGGAGGGCAUACUGUGGUAUUUUUUUUAAUGAAAGGCAAAUAAAAAUAAAUUCUGUUCUCUGA